UAAAAUAUGCUUUUUAAACAAAAUUGAAACAUUUACAUUUACUUUUUCUCCCUAUAUUUCCCCAAUUUAGAAACUCUUCCUGAGCACAUUUAAGUCAAUAAGAAUCUGUUCUUUUCAUAGUGAGACACAACUGGAGACACUGGCUUUGCCUGAACGUCAUCUGUGAGCAUUUGUGUGCAAUGCUGGCUCCCUAGUUUGGCUUCCACCCUUGAGGCUUGUGAAAAGCUACUCUGAGAUUUCUUCUCAAAUUUUCCACCAAAACAAAUUUUCAGUCUGUGGUUCUUCUGGUGUACUUCUGUAAACAAUCAGGAGUUUUGGAGCCAAGCUGGUCCUACUGUGAUUAUCUUUGGUAGAAAUGGAGAUGAUUACAGACAGAAAGCUCAGAGGAAUACUGUGGGCCCCCUCUCAUCAGAUCCUGGCCCUGUCAUUGCUUCUGAGUUCCUGACCCACCCACAGGGUGCAUAAGAUUCCUAUUGUCUGACUAUGACUCUAACAAGAAAAACAGAUGACUCAAAGUGAAUGCUGAGGCUGAGUCUGGACACCUGAAAAGUGAGCAGCACAGCAAGGUCACUGGGACACCCAGUGCUACAACCAGACUGAGACUGCAGACCAGGCUGAGGAGGUGAGGACUCCACAUGACAGGCAGCUUUUCCCAAGGCCACUGGAGCAAGGCUCUCUUAUCAUCGUGAGACACACACCCUCCUUGUCUGUCCUGGCUUAAGCCUGCUUUCUCCUGGGAUAAUGCUGUAGUUUCAUCUCAUGACCAGCAGCUUCUGUGGAUAACCUGAUGGAGCACUUAGUCUGUCCCCUCAAAACCACAUCUUUCCAAGUCCUAAUCUCUUAAUCCUCAAGUCUUAAUCCUCAUUUACCUUAGUGGGGGCUCUGGUAGCAUUCCCUGACACAGCUGUUUGUUCACCAUGGCACUAGUUGUUUCCUUCAGAAUCAGCUCUCUCUGCUGUGAUCUAAGCAUUGCCAGGAGGCGGUGACAGAACUGUCCCUACCAACCAUCAGAGAGGCAUCUGCAUCUACUGACAGCUUUUGAAACACAGAGUGGCUGCUGGACAUCUGAGGUUGAUCCCUGAAUACCACUGGCAGAGGAUGUGGAAACUGGCUGAGUCAAUGGAAACGCCUUCAAGAAUUCUAAAAGGGCCCUGAAUAGAAUCAUUUCCAGGAGAAAGCAGCCGUUGUUCAGGCUAGGACAACCACUAAGGAAGGCAGAAACGGCAGGUCUGUCCAACUGGCGAAGUGCAAAGAGGACAUUUUCAAAGAAGGAAAUGUAAACAUCGUCCAAAGCUGUCAACAUGAAGAGUGUUAGAACACUGUGCACAGUGUGUACAAAGGGGGUGUGCAGUAGGAAAGUCCCCCAGUGUCCUCCCACAGAAAGGACGUGGGGACAGAGCACCACUGUGAGCUGAAAUAGAGUGCUUGGAAUGAAAGAUUUGGAGGGUCCCAUCUGUUGUUUGUGUUUAAUUGUGCUGUGAAAUAAAACUUCCUCCUAAUAAAGAAAAGAAGAAUUUAGACAUCCAAUGGAAGAAGG
rnacentral:lncRNA from 1 species